AGCUGCUGUUCCUGACUCUGAUUGCCCUAGAGGACUGUGCUUAGGACCCCUAAAACGUGACAUAAUGCGGGCAAAGCACUGCUAUGGUCUGUGGGCAGAAAGCAGGAACCAA